rnacentral:rRNA from 1 species
GCGGCAGGCCUAACACAUGCAAGUCGAGCGGUAGAGAGUAGCUUGCUACUCUUGCGAGCGGCGGACGGGUGAGUAACGCGUAGGAAUCUACCUAGUAGUGGGGGAUAGCCCAGAGAAAUUUGGAUUAAUACCGCAUACGCCCUACGGGGGAAAGGAGGGGAUCUUCGGACCUUUCGCUAUUAGAUGAGCCUGCGUGAGAUUAGCUAGUUGGUGAGGUAAAGGCUCACCAAGGCGACGAUCUCUAGCUGGUCUGAGAGGAUGAUCAGCCACACUGGGACUGAGACACGGCCCAGACUCCUACGGGAGGCAGCAGUGGGGAAUAUUGGACAAUGGGGGCAACCCUGAUCCAGCCAUGCCGCGUGUGUGAAGAAGGCCUUCGGGUUGUAAAGCACUUUCAGCGAGGAGGAAGGGAUGUUGCUUAAUACGUAACAUUCUUGACGUUACUCGCAGAAGAAGGACCGGCUAACUCCGUGCCAGCAGCCGCGGUAAUACGGAGGGUCCGAGCGUUAAUCGGAAUUACUGGGCGUAAAGCGUACGCAGGCGGUUGGUUAAGCGAGAUGUGAAAGCCCAGGGCUCAACCUGGGAACUGCAUACCAAACUGCGCAACUAGAGUACGAUAGAGGGGGGUAGAAUUUCAGGUGUAGCGGUGAAAUGCGUAGAGAUCUGAAGGAAUACCGGUGGCGAAGGCGGCCCCCUGGAUUGAUACUGACACUGAGGUGCGAAAGCGUGGGUAGCAAACAGGAUUAGAUACCCUGGUAGUCCACGCCGUAAACGAUGUCUACUAGCCGUUGGAACCCUUAGAGGUUUUAGUGGCGCAGCAAACGCAAUAAGUAGACCGCCUGGGGAGUACGGCCGCAAGGCUAAAACUCAAAUGAAUUGACGGGGGCCCGCACAAGCGGUGGAGCAUGUGGUUUAAUUCGACGCAACGCGAAGAACCUUACCUACUCUUGACAUCCUCGGAACUUAGCAGAGAUGCUUUGGUGCCUUCGGGAACUGUGAGACAGGUGCUGCAUGGCUGUCGUCAGCUCGUGUUGUGAAAUGUUGGGUUAAGUCCCGUAACGAGCGCAACCCUUGUCCUUAUUUGCCAGCACGUAAUGGUGGGAACUUUAAGGAGACUGCCGGUGACAAACCGGAGGAAGGUGGGGACGACGUCAAGUCAUCAUGGCCCUUACGACCAGGGCUACACACGUGCUACAAUGGUAAGUACAAAGGGACGCCAAACCGCGAGGUGGAGCUAAUCCCACAAAGCUUAUCGUAGUCCGGAUUGGAGUCUGCAACUCGACUCCAUGAAGUCGGAAUCGCUAGUAAUCGUGAAUCAGAAUGUCACGGUGAAUACGUUCCCGGGCCUUGUACACACCGCCCGUCACACCAUGGGAGUGGAUUGCACCAGAAGUAGGUAGCUUAACCUUCGGGGGAGCGCUUACCACGGUGUGGUUC